AUUGAACGCUGGCGGCAGGCCUAACACAUGCAAGUCGAGCGGAUGAAGGGAGAUUGCUCCUGGUUUCAGCGGCGGACGGGUGAGUAAUGCCUAGGAAUCUGCCUGGUAGUGGGGGCUAACGUCAGGAAACGGGCGCUAAUACCGCAUACGUCCUGAGGGCGUAAGUGGGGGAUCUUCGGACCUUCCGCUAUCAGAUGAGCGUAGGUCGGAUUAGCUAGUUGGUGGGGUAAAGGCCUACCAAGGCGACGAUCCGUAACUGGUCUGAGAGGAUGAUCAGUCACACUGGAACUGAGACACGGUCCAGACUCCUACGGGAGGCAGCAGUGGGGAAUAUUGGACAAUGGGCGAAAGCCUGAUCCAGCCAUGCCGCGUGUGUGAAGAAGGUCUUCGGAUUGUAAAGCACUUUAGGUUGGGAGGAAGAGCAGUAAGUUAAUACCUUGCUGUUUUGACGUUACCAACAGAAUAAGCACCGGCUAACUUCGUG
rnacentral:rRNA from 1 species